AUUCUCACGAUGUGGUUUCGU
rnacentral:siRNA from 1 species